GAUGAAGAACGUAGUGAAGUGCGAUAAGUAGUGUGAAUUGCAGAAUUCCGUGAAUCAUCGAAUCUUUGAACGCAAAUUGCACUCUCUGGUAUUCCGGAGAGUAUGCCUGUUUGAGGGUCGGUAAAAUAAUAAAUCGUCAUGUCGCUUUAUGACGGAGUUGGGUCUUCUUAAUCCUUUUGGGUUCAAGUGGCCUAAAAUUUAUUUAAAAAUUAUCUUUAGUAUGAUUGCGUACAUAGUAAUUUUGUCGCUUGAAAUAUUGAAGGUGAACCUAUUAGGCGUGACCAUUCUAUUGGAAUCGUGCCUAUAAUUUUCGAGAAACGACCUCAAAUCAGGUAGGAAGACCCGCUGAACUUAAGCAUAUCAAUAAGCGGAGGA
rnacentral:misc_RNA from 1 species